UUGGAGGGCAAGUCUGGUGCCAGCAGCCGCGGUAAUUCCAGCUCCAAUAGCGUAUAUUAAAGUUGUUGCAGUUAAAAAGCUCGUAGUUGAAUUUCGGGAUCAAUAUGUCGGUCGUGCCUUCGGUACGUACUGGUAUCAUUGGUCUCUCCUUUCUGACGAACCAUGAUGUCAUUAAUUUGGUGUUAUGGGGAGUUAGGACUGUUACUUUGAAAAAAUUAGAGUGUUUAAAGCAGGCUUUAGCUUGAAUACAUUAGCGUGGAAUAAUGAAAUAGGACGUUCGAACCUAUUUUGUUGGUUUCUAGGAUCAACGUAAUGAUUAAUAGGGAUAGUUGGGGGCAUUAGUAUUCAAUUGUCAGAGGUGAAAUUCUUGGAUUUACUGAAGACUAACUACUGCGAAAGCAUUUGCCAAGGAUGUUUUCAUUAAUCAAGAACGAAAGUUAGGGGAUCGAAGGCGAUCAGAUACCGUCGUAGUCUUAACCAUAAACUAUGCCGACUAGGGAUCGGAUGAUGUUAAUUUUUUAAUGACUCAUUCGGCGCCUUACGGGAAACCAAAGUGUUUGGGUUC
rnacentral:rRNA from 1 species